rnacentral:rRNA from 1 species
AUUGAACGCUGGCGGCAUGCCUUACACAUGCAAGUCGAACGGCAGCACGGGAGCAAUCCUGGUGGCGAGUGGCGAACGGGUGAGUAAUAUAUCGGAACGUUGCCCGGUCGUGGGGGAUAACGUAGCGAAAGCUACGCUAAUACCGCAUACGAUCUACGGAUGAAAGCGGGGGAUCGCAAGACCUCGCGCGAUUGGAGCGGCCGAUAUCAGAUUAGGUAGUUGGUGAGGUAAAGGCUCACCAAGCCGACGAUCUGUAGCUGGUCUGAGAGGACGACCAGCCACACUGGGACUGAGACACGGCCCAGACUCCUACGGGAGGCAGCAGUGGGGAAUUUUGGACAAUGGGCGCAGGCCUGAUCCAGCAAUGCCGCGUGCAGGAUGAAGGCCUUCGG